UACAGAGGUGGCAAGCGUUGUUCGGAAUUACUGGGCGUAAAGGGCGCGUAGGCGGCUCGACAAGUCCCGCGUGAAAGCCCCCGGCUCAACUGGGGAGGGUCAUUCGAUACUGUUCGACUCGAAGGCAGGAGAGGGAAGUGGAAUUCCGGGUGUAGUGGUGAAAUGCGUAGAUAUCCGGAGGAACACCAGUGGCGAAGGCGACUUUCUGGCCUGUUCUUGACGCUGAGGCGCGAAAGCUAGGGGAGCAAACGGG
rnacentral:rRNA from 1 species